GACGAACGCUGGCGGCGUGCUUAACACAUGCAAGUCGAACGGAGAGGCCUUGUUCUUGUGGUGGGCUCAAGUGGGGAACGGGGGAGUAAAAUGUGAGAGAACUGCGCUCUACUUUGGGAUAAAUUCAGGGAAAUGGGGGUAAUACAGUGUAGGCGCUCCUGCUGCGUGGUGGGGGGUGGAGAGUUUGGUUGGUUGGGGAUGGAUUGGCGGCUUAUCAGCUUGUUGGUGGGGUAGUGGCUUACCAAGGCAUUGACGGGUAGCCGGCCUGAGAGGGUGACCGGCCACAUUGGGACUGAGAUACGGCCCAGACUCCUACGGGAGGCAGCAGUGGGGAAUAUUGCACAAUGGGCGGAAGCCUGAUGCAGCAACGCCGCGUGCGGGAUGACGGCCUUCGGGUUGUAAACCUCUUUCGCCUCUGAAGAAGCGUGAGUGACGGUAAGUGCUGAAGAAGCGCCGGCUAACUACGUG
rnacentral:rRNA from 1 species